rnacentral:rRNA from 1 species
AGGAUGAACGCUGGCGGCGUGCCUAACACAUGCAAGUCGAACGUCCUGUCUCGCAAGAGGCAGGGAGUGGCGGACGGGUGAGUACCACGUGGGUCAUCUACCGUGAGGUGAGGAAUACCGGCGAGAAAUCGCCGACAAGACCGCAUAGGCUCGAUGCAAGUCGAGCAAAGCUCUUUCGAGAGAGGGAGCGCCACACGAGGAGCCUGCGCCCGAUUAGCUAGCUGGUGGAGUAACGGUUCACCAGGGCGACGAUCGGUAGCUGGUCUGAGAGGACGAUCAGCCACACUGGGAUUGAGAACGGCCCAGACUCCUACGGGGGGCAGCAGUGAGGAAUUUUCGUCAAUGGGGGCAACCCUGAACGAGCAACGCCGCGUGCAGGAAGAAGGUUUUCGGAUCGUAAACUGCUUUUCUCGGGGAAGAGAACGGACGGUACCCGAGGAAUCAGCCCCGGCUAACUACGCGCCAGCAGCCGCGGU